rnacentral:rRNA from 1 species
UACGAAGGGGGCUAGCGUUGCUCGGAAUGACUGGGCGUAAAGGGCGCGUAGGCGGCUUAUACAGUCAGGCGUGAAAUUCCUGGGCUCAACCUGGGGACUGCGUCUGAUACGUAUGGGCUUGAGUGUGAAAGAGGGUCGUGGAAUUUCCAGUGUAGAGGUGAAAUUCGUAGAUAUUGGAAAGAACACCGGUGGCGAAGGCGGCGACCUGGUUCAUUACUGACGCUGAGGCGCGAAAGCGUGGGGGAGCAAACAGGAUUAGAUACCCUGGUAGUCCACGCUGUAAACGAUGUGUGCUGGAUGUUGGGGUGCUUAGCACUUCAGUGUCGUAGCUAACGCGGUAAGCACACCGCCUGGGGAGUACGGCCGCAAGGUUGAAACUCA